rnacentral:rRNA from 2 species
AAAUUGAAGAGUUUGAUCAUGGCUCAGAUUGAACGCUGGCGGCAGGCCUAACACAUGCAAGUCGAGCGGUAGCACAGAGAGCUUGCUCUCGGGUGACGAGCGGCGGACGGGUGAGUAAUGUCUGGGAAACUGCCUGAUGGAGGGGGAUAACUAC